rnacentral:rRNA from 1 species
GAUGAACGCUGGCGGCGUGCCUAAUACAUGCAAGUCGAGCGAACGGACGAGAAGCUUGCUUUUCUGAUGUUAGCGGCGGACGGGUGAGUAACACGUGGAUAACCUACCUAUAAGACUGGGAUAACUUCGGGAAACCGGGGCUAAUACCGGAUAAUAUUUUGAACCGCAUGGUUCAAAAGUGAAAGACGGUCUUGCUGUCACUUAUAGAUGGAUCCGCGCUGCAUUAGCUAGUUGGUAAGGUAACGGCUUACCAAGGCAACGAUGCAUAGCCGACCUGAGAGGGUGAUCGGCCACACUGGAACUGAGACACGGUCCAGACUCCUACGGGAGGCAGCAGUAGGGAAUCUUCCGCAAUGGGCGAAAGCCUGACGGGGCAACGCCGCGUGAGUGAUGAAGGUCUUCGGAUCGUAAAACUCUGUUAUUAGGGAAGAACAUAUGUGUAAGUAACUGUGCACAUCUUGACGGUACCUAAUCAGAAAGCCACGGCUAACUACGUG